rnacentral:rRNA from 1 species
AAUAGAUACCCGGGUAGUCCUAGCCGUAAACGAUACUCGCUAGGUGUCGGCCACGGUGCGACCGUUGUCGGUGCCGUAGGGAAGCCGUGAAGCGAGCCACCUGGGAAGUACGGCCGCAAGGCUGAAACUUAAAGGAAUUGGCGGGGGAGCACCACAACGGGUGGAGCUUGCGGUUUAAUUGGAUUCAACGCCGGAAAUCUUACCGGGACCGACAGCAAUAUGAAGGCCAGGCUGAAGACUUUGCCGGAUUAGCUGAGAGGUGGUGCAUGGCCGUCGUCAGUUCGUACUGUGAAGCAUCCUGUUAAGUCAGGCAACGAGCGAGACCCACGCCCACAGUUGCCAGCGUACCCUCCGGAGUGACGGGUACACUGUGGGGACCGCCGCUGCUAAAGCGGAGGAAGGAAUGGGCAACGGUAGGUCAGUAUGCCCCGAAUAUCCCGGGCUACACGCGAGCUACAAUGGUUGGUACAAUGGGUAUCUACCCCGAAAGGGGAUGGAAAUCUCUUAAAGCCAAUCUUAGUUCGGAUUGAGGGCUGCAACCUCCCCUCA